rnacentral:rRNA from 1 species
AGUCGAGCGGACAGAAGGGAGCUUGCUCCCGGAUGUUAGCGGCGGACGGGUGAGUAACACGUGGGUAACCUGCCUGUAAGACUGGGAUAACUCCGGGAAACCGGAGCUAAUACCGGAUAGUUCCUUGAACCGCAUGGUUCAAGGAUGAAAGACGGUUUCGGCUGUCACUUACAGAUGGACCCGCGGCGCAUUAGCUAGUUGGUGGGGUAAUGGCUCACCAAGGCGACGAUGCGUAGCCGACCUGAGAGGGUGAUCGGCCACACUGGGACUGAGACACGGCCCAGACUCCUACGGGAGGCAGCAGUAGGGAAUCUUCCGCAAUGGACGAAAGUCUGACGGAGCAACGCCGCGUGAGUGAUGAAGGUUUUCGGAUCGUAAAGCUCUGUUGUUAGGGAAGAACAAGUGCGAGAGUAACUGCUCGCACCUUGACGGUACCUAACCAGAAAGCCACGGCUAACUACGUGCCAGCAGCCGCGGUAAUACGUAGGUGGCAAGCGUUGUCCGGAAUUAUUGGGCGUAAAGGGCUCGCAGGCGGUUUCUUAAGUCUGAUGUGAAAGCCCCCGGCUCAACCGGGGAGGGUCAUUGGAAACUGGGAAACUUGAGUGCAGAAGAGGAGAGUGGAAUUCCACGUGUAGCGGUGAAAUGCGUAGAGAUGUGGAGGAACACCAGUGGCGAAGGCGACUCUCUGGUCUGUAACUGACGCUGAGGAGCGAAAGCGUGGGGAGCGAACAGGAUUAGAUACCCUGGUAGUCCACGCCGUAAACGAUGAGUGCUAAGUGUUAGGGGGUUUCCGCCCCUUAGUGCUGCAGCUAACGCAUUAAGCACUCCGCCUGGGGAGUACGGUCGCAAGACUGAAACUCAAAGGAUUUGACGGGGGCCCGCACAAGCGGUGGAGCAUGUGGUUUAAGUUCGAAGCAACGCGAAGAACCUUACCAGGUCUUGACAUCCUCUGACACCCUAGAGAUAGGGCUUUCCCUUCGGGACAGAAGUGACAGGUGGUGCAUGGUGUCGUCAGCUCGUGUCGUGAGAUGUUGGGUAAGUCCCGCUAACGAGCCGCACCUUGAUUCUUAGUUGCAGCAUUUAGCUUGGGCACUUCUAAGUGAACUGCGGUGACAAACGGAGGAAGGGGGGGGAUG